rnacentral:rRNA from 1 species
GUGGGGAAUCUUGCGCAAUGGGCGAAAGCCUGACGCAGCCAUGCCGCGUGAAUGAUGAAGGUCUUAGGAUUGUAAAAUUCUUUCACCGGGGACGAUAAUGACGGUACCCGGAGAAGAAGCCCCGGCUAACUCCGUGCCAGCAGCCGCGGUAAUACGGAGGGUGCAAGCGUUAUCCGGAAUCACUGGGUUUAAAGGGUACGUAGGCGGUUAAUUAAGUCAGUAGUGAAAGACUGUCGCUCAACGACGGAUGUGCUAAUGAUACUGGUUAACUUGAAUCAGGUUAGAGUUGGCGGAAUGGGUCAUGUAGCGGUGAAAUGCUUAGAUAUGACUUGGAACACCGAUAGCGAAGGCAGCUGACUGAGCCUUGAUUGACGCUGAGGUACGAAAGUGUGGGUAGCGAACAGGAUUAGAUACCCUGGUAGUCC